UACGGAGGGAGCUAGCGUUAUUCGGAAUUACUGGGCGUAAAGGGCGCGUAGGCGGCGUGACAAGUCACUUGUGAAAUCUCUGAGCUUAACUCAGAACGGCCAAGUGAUACUGUUGUGCUAGAGUGCAGAAAGGGCAAUCGGAAUUCUUGGUGUAGCGGUGAAAUGCGUAGAUAUCAAGAGGAACACCUGAGGCGAAGGCGGGUUGCUAGGCUGACACUGACGCUGAGGCGCGAAAGCUAGGGUAGCAAACGGG
rnacentral:rRNA from 1 species